rnacentral:rRNA from 1 species
UACGUAGGGGGCAAGCGUUGUCCGGAAUCAUUGGGCGUAAAGCGCGCGUAGGCGGCCCGGUAAGUCCGCUGUGAAAGUCAAAGGCUCAACCUUUGAAUGUCAGUGGAUACUGCCGGGCUAGAGUCCGGAAGAGGCGAGUGGAACUCCUGGUGUAGCGGUGGAAUGCGCAGAUAUCAGGAAGAACACCGACGGCGAAGGCAGCUCGCUGGGACGGUACUGACGCUGAGGCGCGAAAGCGUGGGGAGCGAACAGG